GCAGAUUCCUGUGAAACAAAUAAGCAUAUACAGAAGACACAGCUAAUUCUCUCAUUCAGGCAAUUCUCUUUCACUCUUCUCUCUUUAUGUUGAUAUGCUGCUUCAAUCUUUCUUCUGCGGAUUUUUUUUUUCAUUAUAUUUGAAUGAAAUUGUUCAAGCUUAUUUUAUGUUUCUUGGACGUUCAUGUGCUGCUUCUGUUAUUUGCUUUGAUUUUAGAGUGCUGAAGUCUGUCUCUUCUUUUAUUUCUUUUUAAUUCUCCUUGCAAAUUGACUCUUUGGGAUGAAAUUUAAUUAGUAAAAAAGGGUGGGUAGAGAUUCUUAAUACCAUCAUUUCUCUUGAAAUCGAUAUUAAAGCAGUUCUUGAUCUUAACUAGCUCUUUGUGAAACUCUGGGCAAUGAUUAUAUUUUGGUCAACUCUAUUAAGGAUUUAUUUAGAAGAGCUUGGAAUGUGUAGCUUAAACAUAGUAAUUAGGAAGGGAACACGGCAGCAGAUCAAUUAGCAAUUUUUUUUUUUCUUUUGCAAAUGCUGCACAUACUUUCACUAGCCCUCUUCCAGGACCGCCAUGUAUUAUUCUUUAUGGAUAUCAGUGGUUUUCCUUUCCCAUGUGUCCUCCAUAGUCAGUGGUGUUAACUAUGCACUGCCACUCUCAUUGGUUUCAGCCCAUGGAGGGGAAGGUCCUGAACAGGAAGGCAAUGUGCUGGUUUCAAUAUAGGGGUUUUGAUUCAGUUUCGUUUUUUUAUUUUGGUUUGAUUUGGGUUGAUUUAAUCCAAUGUUUUUUUAUUUUAAUAAACAAAAGGCAGGUUCGAACAGGUCCUUUGAAUAAUUGACGGUUCCGGUUAUAGAUUUGACAUUGCCAUCUCCAGACCUGAACUGGAACUUAACCAUGUAUAGUAUUAAUCCUUCUAUAACCAGAAAAAGUUUAGACUCAUACUAUAAACCUUUUAGUUAAAUAGACUCUAAUUUGACAAAAAAUUACUCAAAUUAAAAUUUUGAACUUGUAGGUGAUGAUCCAAGAAUUGGUUUUGUAAUCUUUAACACAAGUCUUCCCUUUUUCCCUCUAUUUUUCCUGUUCUAAUUUCUUUGACUAUAACAUAUAAUUGUAAAAUUAAAAAACCAUAAUCCUUCCUAUUGUAAUUAAUUUAGGAACAUUAUUUAUAUAUUACAUAGGAGUUCAAUGAUUAAAGAAUAUGGAAGUAACCUCAUUCUUUCAUCAUUCAUUACUUCCCUAUUGCAAAGCCAGUUAUUCUAAGAAGUUUAUGUUGUGUCAGCUAUACACAGUUAUGGGCAGGAAAAAAGAUCUCUAUUGGCAACAUGUGGAAGAAUUGGAUGGCGACCGUUUUAAAUGCAUUUACUGUGGACGUGUUUUUUCAGGGGGCAUUCCAAGGAUUGUAGCUCAUUUGGCUGGAGCUACAAACCAUGGGAUUGACAUAUGCUUUGAAGUUCCUGCACAAAUACGAAAAGAAGCUCAUUUAAAACUUGACAAUCGUCGAAAAAAAGCUAAAAUUGCAAUCAGUUCGAGUGAUCUCCAAGAUAGUCAAGUAAUUUCAGCUCCUCCCCAGAAAUUGUCAGAGGGUAUGCACCAAAAUGUUGAGUUUUCAAAUGCAGAUGAGAAGGAUAAGAAUGAAGUGGAUGACAAGCUCAUCAAAUUCAUUAUUUCAAACAACAUUCCAUUUGAUGUUAUUGAAACACAAUCUUUUAUUGACCUGAUGAAGAGCUCAUCUAAAUGUCCUGAUUAUAGGCCACCAGGUCCUCUGACUUUCUUCACGAAAAUCAUUACUAACAUUGAGAUGGAAAGCAAGGUAUGCUCUGGACUGCAAACAAAUGAAGUCUUAACAUACAUAGAUAAUGUGAAGGGAUCAUGGGCUACAACAGGUUGCACAUUGAGGCUUGAAAAAUUGUGUAACUUCGUUUAUGUCACUGCAUAUUCUCCUGAAGGGUCUCUCUUUAUGAACUGCUGUGGAAAUUCUCUGCACACGGAGACAGAUUUUGAUAUUACAAGGAUUGUUUGUUCUAUAAUUGAAGAUAUUGGGGUUGAUCAGGUUGUGCAGUUAAUCACAAAUGAUGCUUCAAUUUCUCACUCUGCUGGGGAAAUGCUCACAAGUAAGUAUCCCAAAAUUUUCAGUACUCAGUGUGUUGCUCAAAGGAUUCAUGGUUUCCUCAAGGAUGUUUGUCAUAAAGUAGAAUGGGUACGCCUAUUAAUCCAAAAAUCACUAUUAAUUAUUGGACAUUUGCAUGAAGAUGCCACAAUUUUGCAGCUGAUGCCGAGAUUCAGAUUCAAAAGUCCUUGUAAGUCUAAAUUUGCCUCCUAUUAUCAAAUGCUUCAAUCAAUUUUUGAUAAUAAGCAAGAGUUUCAACAACUCGUUACUUCUCUAAAGACAAACCAGCUGAAUUGUAACAAUGACCAGGCGAGACCGAAUGUUUUCAACAUUUUUCAAAGUGCAGAAUUUUGGAGUGAAGGGCAAGAGCUACUGGAAACUAUGAAAUCGGUUAUUAGAGUCCUUUGUUUAGUGGAAUGCUAUGGAUCAACAUCAGGUUAUUUAUAUGAAGCAAUGGAAAUGGCAAAGGAAGCAAUUAAGGUGCAGUGGAUUAAGAAUCAAAAUAAGUAUGCUGAGAUAUUGGACUUGUUUACGAGUCUAAGCAACAAUAUCAUCCAUCCGAUGCAUCUUGCCGCAGCUUUUCUUAACCCUGUUUAUAUGAAUAGUAGAGAAUUUGAAGUUGAUCCUCAAAUAGAGAGAGGCAUAGUCUUUAUGCUGGAUACCUUAGUGGACAAUGAAGAGAAGGAAAUUUUCAAAGGAGAAGUGAAGCUUUAUCUCAAGAAAGUACCAAAUUUGUUCACUGUUGCUGCAAAUCAAUUGUUGCAAACAUGUCAUCCUUGUGCGCAUUUAGUGCAUUAUGAUUUCUUUCUCUUUCUUCUUCUUUUUAUAAUAAAUUCAACCAUUAAUAUUUCUAUAUAUAUGUGUUUAUGCUUUUGGUAUCUCAUGUUAUAUAUGUAGGUAUAUGGUGGGAGUUACGGGGGAAAUGUCUUCCAGUUUUACGAAAGUGUGCAAUGAGAAUUUUGAGUCAACCUUGUAAAUGCAGUUUGCCUUACAAUGCAUAUAAUGUUGUUCAAGAAGAGAUGAAAAAGGGAGCAAAUUUUUCAAAACAUAUUCUAAUCCUGAGAAUGAAUAUGAUGCUCAUGGAAAAAUGGAGAACUUCAGAAACAGAACCUCUGGAGCCAAUUGAUCUUGAAAGCUGCAGUAAACUCCCUGAUUAUAUUGAUCCUAUUAAAGGUUGCGAAGAUGAUCAUCAAAUGGGGAUGAGUUUGGGCAGAAAAAAUUUUGAUGAUAAAAAUGCAGCAAAUGAGGCGCAGGGCCUCCAUUCAAACGCUAUGUCACCUUUCUUAUCCUAUGGAUGGUGCAGAUGGAAUGGAAACAUGGUCAUUCCAAACUAUAUGCAAGGGCAGGCCCUCCAUUCAAACGCUUUGUCACCUUUCUCUUCCUAUGGAUGGUGCAGAUGGAAAGGAAACAUUGCUCGAAGAAGAUGGAGAAUUAUCUACUGCUUAUUGAAAUUUCUUUCUUUGUAUAACAAUUUGGGCAAACAGCACAGAAGGGAAGGAUU
rnacentral:misc_RNA from 1 species